AUGAAUGUGUAUUUUCAUUUGAAGUUGUACAUUCUCUUACUCAUUAUCCUCUAUGUGGAUGGAUUAGAGAACCUGAGAAUGUCGAGUCUUGUGUACAUGUUGGCAGAUGUUCCUGGUAUCCAGCCUGAGGUACAACUACAGGAGUCUGCACCUGGCCUGGUGAAACCCUCUCAGUCAUUGUCUCUUACCUGCUCUAUCAAUGGCUACUACAUUGCCAGUGGUUAUGACUGGAGUUAUAUCUGGAAGUUCCUAGGAAAUAAAAUGGAGGGGAUGAAGUAUAUAAUCUACAGUGGUAGCACUGGCUACAACCCAUCUCUCAAAAGUCAAAUCUCUAUUAUUAGAGACACAUGCAAGAACCAGUAUUUUCUGCAAUUGAACUCUGUGACUUCUGAGGACACAGCCACAUAUUUCUGUGCAUGA